AUUGAACGCUGGCGGCAGGCCUAACACAUGCAAGUCGAGCGGAUGAAGAGAGCUUGCUCUCUGAUUUAGCGGCGGACGGGUGAGUAAUGCCUAGGAAUCUGCCUGGUAGUGGGGGAUAACGUUCCGCAAGGAACGCUAAUACCGCAUACGUCCUACGGGAGAAAGCAGGGGACCUUCGGGCCUCGCGCUAUCAGAUGAGCCUAGGUCGGAUUAGCUAGUUGGUGAGGUAAUGGCUCACCAAGGCGACGAUCCGUAACUGGUCUGAGAGGAUGAUCAGUCACACUGGAACUGAGACACGGUCCAGACGCCUACGGGAGGCAGCAGUGGGGAAUAUUGGACAAUGGGCGAAAGCCUGAUCCAGCCAUGCCGCGUGUGUGAAGAAGGUCUUCGGAUUGUAAAGCACUUUAAGUUGGGAGGAAGGGCAUUAACCUAAUACGUUAGUGUUUUGACGUUACCAACAGAAUAAGCACCGGCUAACUUCGUGCCAGCCGCCGCCGUAACAC
rnacentral:rRNA from 1 species